rnacentral:rRNA from 1 species
AUUGAACGCUGGCGGCAGGCCUAACACAUGCAAGUCGAACGAGUGGCGGACGGGCGAGUAAUGUCUUGGAAACUGCCUGAUGGAGGGGGAUAACUACUGGAAACGUUGGCUAAUACCGCAUAACAUCCGAUGUGCCCCGAUGGGAUUAGCUGGUUGGUGGGGUAACGGCUCACCAAGGCGACGAUCCCUAGCUGGUCUGCGCGGAUGACCAGCCACACGGGAACUGAGACACGGUCCAGACUCCUACGGGAGGCAGCAGUGGGGAAUAUUGCACAAUGGGCGCAAGCCUGAUGCAGCCAUGCCGCGUGUAUGAAGAAGGCCUUCGGGUUGUAAAGUACUGUCAGCGGGGAGGCGUUACCCGCAGAAGAAGCACCGGCUAACUCCGUGCCAGCAGCCGCGGUAAUUC